UGCAAGUCGAGGGGCAGCGCGGGGCAGCAAUGUUCUGGCGGCGACCGGCGGAAGGGUGCGUAACGCGUGAGCGACAUGCCCGUUGCCCGGGGACAACCGGUGGAAACGCCGACUAAUCCCCGAUGGGACGGAGGCCCUCAUGGGUCUCCGUUGAAAGUUACGGCGGCGACGGAUUGGCUCGCGUCCGAUUAGCUUGUUGGCGGGGUAACGGCCCACCAAGGCUACGAUCGGUAGGGGUUCUGAGAGGAAGGUCCCCCACAAUGGAACUGAGACACGGUCCAUACUCCUACGGGAGGCAGCAGUGAGGAAUAUUGGUCAAUGGGCGGAAGCCUGAACCAGCCAUGCCGCGUGCGGGAAGGAGGCCCUAUGGGCUGUGAACCGCUUUUGCCUGGGGGCAAUAAGGGCGUCGUGCACGUCCGAUGAGAGUACCAGGCGAAUAAGCAUCGGCUAACUCCGUGCCAGCAGCCGCGGUAAUACGGGGGAUGCGAGCGUUAUCCGGAUUCAUUGGGUUUAAAGGGUGCGUAGGCUGUGCGUCAAGUCAGGGGUGAAAUUCCGGGGCUCAACUCCGGGGCUGCCCUUGAUACUGUCGCGCUGGAGUGCGGAUGCCGCCGGAGGAAUGAGUGGUGUAGCGGUGAAAUGCUUAGAUAUCACUCAGAACACCGAUUGCGAAGGCAUCUGGCGAAUCCGUAACUGACGCUGAGGCACGAAAGCGUGGGGAUAGAACAGGAUUAGAUACCCUGGUAUUCCACGCCGUAAACGAUGAUGGCUAACCGCCGGCGACACACUGUCGGUGGCCAAGCGAAAGCGAUAAGCCAUCCACCUGGGGAGUACGUCGGCAACGAUGCAACUCAAAGGAAUUGACGG
rnacentral:rRNA from 1 species